AAACCAACCGGGAUUGCCUUAGUAACGGCGAGUGAAGCGGCAAAAGCUCAAAUUUGAAAUCUGGUACCUUCGGUGCCCGAGUUGUAAUUUGGAGAGGGCAACUUUGGGGCCGUUCCUUGUCUAUGUUCCUUGGAACAGGACGUCAUAGAGGGUGAGAAUCCCGUGUGGCGAGGAGUGCGGUUCUUUGUAAAGUGCCUUCGAAGAGUCGAGUUGUUUGGGAAUGCAGCUCUAAGUGGGUGGUAAAUUCCAUCUAAAGCUAAAUAUUGGCGAGAGACCGAUAGCGAACAAGUACAGUGAUGGAAAGAUGAAAAGAACUUUGAAAAGAGAGUGAAAAAGUACGUGAAAUUGUUGAAAGGGAAGGGCAUUUGAUCAGACAUGGUGUUUUGUGCCCUCUGCUCCUUGUGGGUAGGGGAAUCUCGCAUUUCACUGGGCCAGCAUCAGUUUUGUGGCAGGAUAAAUCCAUAGGAAUGUAGCUUGCCUCGGUAAGUAUUAUAGCCUGUGGGAAUACUGCC
rnacentral:rRNA from 1 species